UUUUUCCGUAAAGUAACGCCGUGUUAUUGUUCUUCAUACUGCAAAAGCUCAGAUUUUUACUAUUACACGAACAUUUCUUUGAAUUAUGUAAUGGACAACCCUAAAAGCCAAAUUGCACAUUUUUUGAAAAACUCUACAUGCCAAAACACGUCGUA